rnacentral:snRNA from 1 species
AUCUUUCAAGUUUAUCUAGAAGGGUCUCGCUUCCGAAGUCGGAGGCGAGUGCCCAAC